ACAUGAUUACCAUUUCUCAAAGGGGCUCGCAGGGCACGUGACCUGCUUCCAUUCCAACCUCGGAGAACUUCCUUUGUUUCCCUUGACACCAGUCGGCACAUCGCAAGAUCCGAAGCUUGUCUACAGAACACAUAAUUAGCCUUCCCCAACGCUCUUGAUAACAACAGCAGCUAAACGGAGAGGGAGGCUGCACUAAAGCCGAGAUGGGCCAGCACAGGAUCAACCAACCAAUCGGAGCCCUGGAGGUGGGGCUUGAGAUCCGGCAAAUAAUUACUAAAUGCAUUUCCAGCCCAGUUGGUCUGGGCUGCUGAAAGAUCUGGCUGCAGAGUGAGAGGGGAAGCAGGAAUCUAAGCACCGGUGUUUGUGGAACGCUGCUGUAGCAUCAACCCUGGACUGCCUCCUGCUGCCUCCUUCCUGUCUUCCUUGGUGAAAGCACUUACGAGAAGCAAGUUCUUCUCAGAUGGAUCGGACUGACUUCUUCUUCUUUGGCGAUCCCUCAUAGCCGAAUGAAGUCAUCAGAUAUUGACCAGGAAUUAUUCACAGAAAGCUACUGCAAAGUGUGCAGCGCUCAGCUAAUAUCAGAAUCGCAGCGUGUGGCUCAUUACGAGAGCCGGAAACAUGCCAGCAAAGUUCGUCUCUACUAUAUGCUCCACCCACUAGAUGGAGGCUGUCCUGCGAAGAAGCUGCGGUCAGAAAAUGGCAGCGACAAUGAUUCGGUGGAUAAGAACAAAUGCUGUACGCUCUGUAACAUGUCCUUUACUUCAGCCGUUGUGGCUGAGUCACACUAUCAAGGGAAAAUUCAUGCCAAAAGAUUAAAACUGUUGCUAGGAGAGCAGCCAACGUUAAAGGCCACAGAGACCAACCUGAGUUCCCUAAAGCAGUCACACCUGGAUAGUUCUCCUGUGGUGUCUUCGCCCCAUCAGAGAAGAGACUCUGACAGGUACUGCCAGCUUUGCACAGCUUGGUUUAAUAACCCAAUGAUGGCACAGCAACACUAUGACGGGAAGAAGCACAAAAAGAAUGCGGCCAGGGCAGAUUUACUAGAGCAACUAGGGAAGACGCUGGAUCUAGGCGAGUUAAGAGGUUGUAAGCAUGAAGGUCCCAGAUUGCUGCUGUCUGACAUGAAGAUGGUCAGAUGUACCAGUGCUCAAGACAAAGCAAAAGGGGGAAGCAAUGUCUUAAGCGGAGCUAUACUUGUAACAUCUGCAAUGUCACUCUAAACUCCAUAGAACAGUAUCACGCACACCUGAAGGGGUCCAAACAUCAGACCAACCUGAAGAACCAGUAGGCGGUCAUCCAAGACAGUGACAUUUUACCACCACAGUUUCUUCUCCAAAGAAGAGCUAUGUUGACUAUGACUAGGAGGCUUUCUGGGACAAUGAGCACUUCCUGUGUGGCAUCAUUAAUGUGUAGCUAAUCUUUGCUUUGGACAAUGAAUGGAUUUUAAUUUUAUUUUUAUUUUGUGGUGCAUAACAAGAUUCAGAUGGAUUUUUUUACCCUUGCAGAUAAGUCUAUAUAUAUUCAACAUGAAAUCAAGAGAGUAUGUUUAAAAAUGUAAAAUAUAUCUUCAGAGACCAUUGGAAUAAAAUAUUUUUUUCUUUUUUCAUAUUUAUUCUUAGAUUUCUUCAGAGAGUAUAAGAUCCUAUUAAAUAGUCCAUGAUUGUGAUGUAAGUAACGAGUCUUCAGCAAGAAAUAAACAUGAUGUCUUCACCACAUUCUGCAUACUUCUUGUCGUCUGCACUGAGAGGGGGAGAAAAAAAUGGCUCUUGACCUUUGGAAUGUAGACUGGAGACAGGUAGAAAAGAUUUGGAAGUAGAUGGAGAGAAGCAUCACUUCCUGUAGUACAUACUGGAGUCAUGCCCUCUGGUGUCCUUCUAGAAGUUGUUGGACUUCAACUUCCAUCAGUCCCAGGCAGCAUGACGAACCAUCAUCAGGUAUGAUGGAAAAUUCAAUCCAACAACAUCUGGAAAACCACAGCUUUGCCAUCCCUAUCAGCCCCCUGCUCCCCCCGAAACACUGUGACUUCUGGUCAAACAGGAUACCUACUUACACUUUUUCCAU